CAUCUAAUUUAGUAGACCCCUUGUUGGUGUCUCAUAAGUAUCCAUUCUUGCUCUACUGCUCCCACACUCUGGAUCUGGAGACAGGGAUCAGUGCCCUGUAAUGUCAAUCAAUUAACCAGGACAGGGAACUAUUAUAUGCAAACCAUGCAUUGCAUUAAGUGUACAAUGCUAUGAUAUUGCGAGGCUCUGCUAGGCUGUAUCAGAAGAGAGACGACCUGGCAGAAGGAGGAUAGGGGACUAUUGAUAGCAAUCUUUCGACUGCAAUGGCAUAGAACCGAUCAGUAAUAUUGGUGAUCUACAUGUACAACCUGCUUGUGUGGGCAGACUAUACAAGAAGAGAGGCAUGGAGCUGAUGAGGAAACCUACCGCUGCCAUCUUCACUCAUCUGACCUCCGCGAUCAUGCUGCAAAUGGUCUGAUGAGUGUAACUAAGCCCAGCAGAAGCUUAAGAUGCAGUGAUCAUUAGCAUUGAGGUUAAUAUACAUAAAAUACAGUAAAAAAUAUUCUGCAAAGCCUUUCUUUAUGCACUGCCAAUGUAAUAAAGAGUUAAUAUUUAGGGAUUCAUUUGGAAUAAGUCUAACUUCUGAAUCACUCGGGGCUAAGUUUUUGAUGCAUAAAAGGAUUUUUCUAUACAAAGUCCAAUUCUACAGUUCAUCAGGGGACCCCUAUUCUACUGGGUCUAGAUUAUUUUAUUAAAAUACCAGCAAAUAUUCCCUAAUAGCUGUGGCUGUAUGAUAUUUAGAUGAAAAUGCACUUCCAUUACACAAUGCAGCUUUGCUGUGUGCCUGUUUUUUUUUUGUAUUUUCUGUAGUCUCAUGGCCGCAGCACAUACACUCAUCAAAGCAGUUAUAGAGAAAACACGACUAACAUUUCUAUGUAUUUAGUCACAAGUGGCAAUUGUGUAAACAGGUUACAACUGCUAAUAUACACUUAUUAGUCUCCACCCGCAAUGAUACUAUCUAAUAAUAAGCUACAUUAAGAGAAUGAGAGACUAGUCAUGUUUAUUGUAUGUGUGUCUCACAACAGAUCACACAGCAUUAUUAUAUGUAAAUGUAACACUGCUCAUGCUCUAUGUAUUUAUAACUACAAAU